GUUCUAAGCAGGUUGUUUGUGGAUUGGCUGCCUAGAGGACGUUCCUGUAGACGUCUAAGUGAGACGCCUGGUGACACAGACGUGAGAAUACAAUGGAAGCUCACGAGAUGAGCGUGGCUUGAAUGGGCUUAUGAAUGCAGAUUUGGGGGGCUAUGUUACCUAUCUUUAUGUGCAAGGAGUACUUGAUAAACCAUGAGGAGUCCAUGAUGGUGCGUCUGAAUAUGACAUGUAAGUAGAAGGCUCGAAAGAAUAGAGUGCUGGCCAUGACAUCACAACUCAAUUCACUGACACACUUCUCCGAUAUCAGUGCACUUACAGGUGGAGAAGGCAGGGCAGAGGAUAUGGUCCCUUCUGUGAAGAAAUCAAGGAAAGGUCCCAAAAAAAGCAAAAAGAAGAAAGGAUACUGAGUCAUUAUCACAGCGAAACCAGACUUGCAGCGGAUUUUUUUUUUUUGAAUGGAUGAAGUUGAAUGGAUAUUUUGAUGGCAGUUUUUUACAGUGAGACUAGGCAUUCUAUCUAUAACUAAUCUUAUAUUGCAUCAGUGCACUGCGUGAGCCAAAAUUAACUGUUCACUUAUCUUACAAUAGGGGCACAUAAACUUUUUCUAGUGAACCUGCUUAUUUAAUGCAGAAAAUUGCAUAUAUGCAUAAUUAAUAAUGGUAGCUUCAUGCUGCUUGAUUAUAUUGUCACUAAAUUAUAUAUUGUCGAUAGAAAACUUGCAUAUAAAAAAGUUAACUUUUAGUAUGAUGUAGAGAGGGAUAUUCUGAGUUAAUUUGCAAUUGAGUUUCAUUUUUAAUUAUUUGUGGUUUUUGAGUUGCUUAGCAUUGGUCAUUCUAUAACAUACCAAAAGUUAACUUAAAGGUGAACCACCCCUUUAAGUGUACAUAAGGAGGGUUAAGGAAAAAUAACUAAAAAGAAAAUUGUCCCUUCCAUUUUAAUUUGGGCUUAAAACAGUAGCUCACCUUCACAAAAAGUUAUCGUUGACUAUUUUCAUGACAUUUUAAAAGUGAAUUUAUUUCCCCUAAA